AGCAGUCGCCGCGGUAAAACGUAUGUCACAAGCGUUAUCCGGAUUUAUUGGGCGUAAAGCGCGUCUAGGUGGUUAUGUAAGUCUGAUGUGAAAAUGCAGGGCUCAACUCUGUAUUGCGUUGGAAACUGUGUAACUAGAGUACUGGAGAGGUAAGCGGAACUACAAGUGUAGAGGUGAAAUUCGUAGAUAUUUGUAGGAAUGCCGAUGGGGAAGCCAGCUUACUGGACAGAUACUGACGCUAAAGCGCGAAAGCGUGGGUAGCAAACAGGAUUAGAUACCCCCGUAGUCCCUGUCUCUUAUACA
rnacentral:rRNA from 1 species